rnacentral:lncRNA from 1 species
CCCAAUCGUCUUCUUCCCCUUUCCCCCCACCCCAAACCCUAAAUCCCCCUCCUCUCAUCUGACGCCGCCCCCUGCCACCUCCACACACCGACACCAGCCGUCGCCCCCUCCCCUUCCCCCACCUCAGUGCUGCUGCUGCCUCGAUGGAAUCCGAUUAUGGUUGUUGAAAUCUCGAUAGAAAAAUAAGAGAUGCAAGACUCGAUUUUUACACCGACGACCGUUCACCCUCCCCCUUCCCCCACCUCGGCUCUGCCAGUUCCCCCCAAAACUUCGUCCUCGUCGCCUUCCUCUAAAUCUCCGACUUGACUCGAUUUGUUUCGAAAAAAAGGAAAAAUAAUAUCUUUUUGUGCUGGUAGAAUUAGGGCUUUGUUGGGAUUGAAGAAGGGUUUUCAGAGGGAUGGGGUUUGAGAGAGAGACGAUGGCGAAGCCGCUGCUAUCGCUAGAAUUUCAGAGAGGGGGGAGGUCGGAGGUUGUUGAGGAAGAAUGAGAAGAGUCUGCUGUAGCCGGAAUUUCAGAGAGGGGAGGUCAAUCGAGUUUGGAGUGGGCCGCAGUUGGAGAUGGUGGCUGGAGGUGUGUGGCUGGGAUCGGGCGCUGGUGGUCCUUGGUGUUUCCAUGGUCCUUGGGUUUUCUUCUCCCUCAAAACAACGAUCGGCGAUGUUGUGCGGG